rnacentral:rRNA from 1 species
UGCCCAGUCGUGGGGGAUAACUGCUCGAAAGAGCAGCUAAUACCGCAUACGACCUGAGGGUGAAAGCGGGGGAUCGCAAGACCUCGCGCGAUUGGAGCGGCCGAUAUCAGAUUAGGUAGUUGGUGGGGUAAAGGCCCACCAAGCCAACGAUCUGUAGCUGGUCUGAGAGGACGACCAGCCACACUGGGACUGAGACACGGCCCAGACUCNUACGGGAGGCAGCAGUGGGGAAUUUUGGACAAUGGGCGCAAGCCUGAUCCAGCCAUGCCGCGUGCGGGAAGAAGGCCUUCGGGUUGUAAACCGCUUUUGUCAGGGAAGAAAAGGUUCUGGUUAAUACCUGGGACUCAUGACGGUACCUGAAGAAUAAGCACCGGCUAACUACGUGCCAGCAGCCGCGGUAAUACGUAGGGUGCAAGCGUUAAUCGGAAUUACUGGGCGUAAAGCGUGCGCAGGCGGUUAUGCAAGACAGAGGUGAAAUCCCCGGGCUCAACCUGGGAACUGCCUUUGUGACUGCAUGGCUAGAGUACGGUAGAGGGGGAUGGAAUUCCGCGUGUAGCAGUGAAAUGCGUAGAUAUGCGGAGGAACACCGAUGGCGAAGGCAAUCCCCUGGACCUGUACUGACGCUCA